rnacentral:rRNA from 1 species
UACGUAGGGACCAAGCGUUGUCCGGAAUCAUUGGGCGUAAAGCGCGCGUAGGUGGCUUCGUAAGUCCGUUGUGAAAGUCAAAGGCUCAACCUUUGAAAGCCGAUGGAUACUGCGAAGCUAGAGUACGGAAGAGGCGAGUGGAAUUCCUGGUGUAGCGGUGGAAUGCGCAGAUAAUCAGGAGGAACACCAAUAGCGAAGGCAGCUCGCUGGGACGUUACUGACACUGAGGCGCGAAAGCGUGGGGAGCGAACAGG